GACGGAGGGGGCUAGCGUUGUUCGGAAUGACUGGGCGUAAAGGGCGCGUAGGCGGUUUUUUAAGUGAGACGUGAAAGCCCUGGGCUUAACCCAGGAGGUGCGUUUCAUACUGAAAGGCUUGAGUGCGAGAGAGGAAAGUGGAAUUCCUAGUGUAGAGGUGAAAUUCGUAGAUAUUAGGAAGAACACCAGUGGCGAAGGCGACUUACUGGACACAUAUUGACGCUGAGGUGCGAAAGCGUGGGGAGCAAACAGG
rnacentral:rRNA from 1 species